CUUUGAGUGAAAGUCUAGGAUUCUUGGAAUUAUGAUAUUUUCUUUUCAUUUUUGUCCCUAGGUCCUGCCACAAGUUUGCAUGUUAUUUUUUCUUUAUCACUCAUCUUUGGAUAAUCUUGCUUUCCGUUCUUUUCCCAAUCAAAAGGAUUCUCAAUCAUUUUCUUAUUUCAACCAUCAAUUGCAGAUAAGGUUAUCUUAUUUUCGAGUAUCUGAAUCUGUUAAGAAGGUUUUAUGUGUUUUAUUGUAUAUCACAUUUACAUAGAUUCUAAAAAGGUAGAUUUUUACAGGAAUUUUAUUUUAUUUUCGUAUUUCAAUAUUGCCGGUUAAUAAUAUCUAUUUGCUAAAAUUGAAAGUUGUUUUGUGUUGCUCUCUUUUUUUCUUUCAAAAUUUAAACAAUGGAUGUUCACUCCCAAA